UACGAAGGGGGCUAGCGUUGCUCGGAAUCACUGGGCGUAAAGCGCACGUAGGUGGAUCAUUAAGUCAGGGGUGAAAUCCUGGAGCUCAACUCCAGAACUGCCUUUGAUACUGGCGAUCUUCGAGUCCGGGAGAGGUGGGUGGAACUGCGAGUGUAGAGGUGAAAUUCGUAGAUAUUCGCAAGAACACCAGUGGCGAAGGCGGCUCACUGGCCCGGCAUUGACGCUGAGGUGCGAAAGCGUGGGGAGCAAACAGG
rnacentral:misc_RNA from 1 species